UCUGUCACACUAAAAAGGAAAGGGCUCUGGAAACAGUCAUCAUGUAGGGUUUCUAUUCUCCAGUAUUUUGGGGGAAGAUAACACAGGCUGCUGGGCAGGUGCAGAAAACAGCUCCCACCCUUCUAAGAAAGCCAGAGUUAAGCCCUGGUACAACUUUGUUCCUAAUGAAAAGGACAUAGGACAGGGAAGGAAGAACAUCUGCAACAGGUACUUAAAUCUUCCCAGUUCACCCUGAGAGUAAGAACUGGGCUUUCUGGGACAGGGAACUGAUCUAAUUAAGCCUGAACCUAAGCCUGAUCUGCAAAAUACAAACAUAUUGGAGACAGCAUGUUAGUUUGAUUAGUGACCCCUUUCUGCUCUGUGCAGCCACAGCUCCUGCUUCCCAAACUAGCUCCAGGCAUGCCCUACCUGUAGGAACUACCUGCACAUCCAGCUGGAGCUCAACCACUUCCAGGCUGGGAGCACUGACAUGGUAAGACAGGGCUGGCAUUUUAAAUGGGGAAGAAAAGUGAGUCUUGCAGAAAGGGAUGGUAAAACAGUUGGUUCCCUUCAUGUUGCCUGACACAGAUUAAUCACACACUCCAGAGGGAUGGGAAAGAUCCCUUUGGGAAAGUCAAGACCAGGUUGGGGUCUUCAAAUUUAUAUACAAGGGGGAAAUCCUGACUGGUAUCAGGGCUUCCUGCAUUCACAAAGAACAGCCUAGAUUCUCUCCUGACAUUUCUGGCAGCACAAGCCAACAGACUGGUCAGCAACCAGAACAGAAGGCACAAAUAGCACAAGCAUCAGGUCAAAAGGAGCUUUCAGUAUUCACUCAGGCUGAAUAUUCCUACCUGUUUUCAGGCUACAGGAUGCAAGGGACCACAGAAAGAUCUAAAACCUGGCCUAAGGAACAACAAAAUUGAGAGAACAACAACUAGAGGAGCCCAGGACCACUACCUGCUUUGGAGGGUUGCUGGAAACAGGGGAAUUCCAUUUGUAGAAUAUAGGCAAGAAAAGGGAGUCUGUCAGCACCCAUUCACAGUUAACUCAAAUUGUCUUCUGAGGGAACCCACCAUACCAUGCUGAAUUCCUAACAGAUGAAGAACAACGGCAGUUACUCUGCAGCGAUGCCAAUGUUUCCAAAUUCAACCCCUUUCUGACCAGGAUGAGCAAGAAGUCUCCUGCAUGCUAAUAUCCUGCCAAGGCUGUGAUUCCCCCAUGGUUCUUGCAGGAAAGUACACAGCUCACAAGCACUACAGUAUGGACAGAGACUUCUUCAGAGCCUAUGUGCCCAGAACAAGGAGAUUUUUUAAUAAGGAUCAACAUCUGUGAAAGUGGAGCACAAGUUGAACAGAGAGAGUGGUCCAUCUGUCUGAAGAAGACAGAAGUAACCAAGUGUUUAUGAUGCUGCACUUUUAGCAGCACUGAACUAAUACUUGAACACUGGACCCUUUUCUUUUCUGCGACAAAGUACUGACAGCAGAACUACUUCCAUGAGAUAUUAUUUAUGUAACUCUUGAUAAAAGUAUAAAUCUAUUUCUCCCUUUAUUAGUGCCCUACCAGCUCCCAUCCUCAAAGGGAAAAGGGGCAGGACUGUGAAAAUACAACUAAUCAGAGUUAAUUUAGUGUUUAAUUUCACAGUCCCAUCACUCUAAAGGAUAAAAGGGUAAAGCUAAAGAUCCUUUAUAUGCACUCUGAGGCUACUCAAUCCCACAUCCCACUAGGAAAAGAGACAAACAGCAUGACCUAAAGCAGAACACAAAGAAAUGAAACUUCCUAUGCACAUGUGAAAAUUACACGUUAUAGAUGGACAAGUCCUUGUAUCCAAACAACAGAGAUAUCCAUGGACUUCAGUGUGGGCUCAGGGCUCCUCAUGGCGUCCAACGAUAAUGUGCAAAAAGCAGCCAAGUAAAAGACUCUUCCAUAACCAUUUAUGCUCAAAGCAGUCCUUGAGAUCAAUGGCAAUGGCCCCAAAGGAAAAUACAGGAAUAGGAAUAUUUCCUAUUUUUCCUAGGAUUUUCCUAUAUUUCCUAGGAUAUCCUCAGAGGUUGAAUGAUGGCUCCACUGGCUCUUGGACUGGCUACCCUGUUAGCAGGGCAGUAAUAGUAUCAGCAACAGAGGCCUGCAGAGCUGCUGAACCAACCCAACUGCUCAGCACUGAAAGAGGAACAGGCCUUCGGUUGUUAAGUUUCCAAAGGAAUGUGCUGAAAUCCUG